rnacentral:rRNA from 1 species
UACGUAGGGGACAAGCGUUGUCCGGAAUUAUUGGGCGUAAAGAGCGUGUAGGCGGCCAGACAGGUCCGUUGUGAAAACUAGAGGCUUAACCUCUAGACGUCGAUGGAAACCGUCUGGCUAGAGUCCGGAAGAGGAGAAUGGAAUUCCUGGUGUAGCGGUGAAAUGCGCAGAUAUCAGGAAGAACACCCGUGGCUAAGGCGGUUCUCUAGUACGGUACUGACGCUGAGACGCGAAAGCGUGGGGAGCGAACAGG